AGUAGCGCAGCUUGGUAGCGCAACUGGUUUGGGACCAGUGGGUCGGAGGUUCGAAUCCUCUCU
rnacentral:tRNA from 2 species